GAAAUGAUGUACAACUGUUGUGAUCUGUGAAUACUUGUUGAAACAUCCUGCUUGCCUGUUUGAGAAAGAAGGCCCUUUGCAACAGAGAGUGGAACUUUCGCCAACCCACAAUCUGGAGGCUUUGAGGUCAUUUGAAGGACACAUCAUUUCCCGCAACCCAUGAAAUGAUGUACAACUGUUGUGAUCUGUGAAUACUUGUUGAAUCACUCUGAUUGCCUGUUUGAAAGAGAAGGCCCUUUGCAACAGAGAGUGGAACUUUCGCCAACCCAUAAUCUGGAGGCUUUGAGGUCAUUUGAAGGACACAUCAUUUCCCACAACCCAUGAAAUGAUGUACAACUGUUGUGAUCUGUGAAUACUUGUUGAAACAUCCUGCUUGCCUGUUUGAGAAAGAAGGCCCUUUGCAACAGAGAGUGGAACUUUCGCCAACCCACAAUCUGGAGGCUUUGAGGUCAUUUGAAGGACACAUCAUUUCCCGCAACCCAUGAAAUGAUGUACAACUGUUGUGAUCUGUGAAUACUUGUUGAAUCACUCUGAUUGCCUGUUUGAAAGAGAAGGCCCUUUGCAACAGAGAGUGGAACUUUCGCCAACCCAUAAUCUGGAGGCUUUGAGGUCAUUUGAAGGACACAUCAUUUCCCACAACCCAUGAAAUGAUGUACAACUGUUGUGAUCUGUGAAUACUUGUUGAAACAUCCUGCUUGCCUGUUUGAGAAAGAAGGCCCUUUGCAACAGAGAGUGGAACUUUCGCCAACCCACAAUCUGGAGGCUUUGAGGUCAUUUGAAGGACACAUCAUUUCCCGCAACCCAUGAAAUGAUGUACAACUGUUGUGAUCUGUGAAUACUUGUUGAAUCACUCUGAUUGCCUGUUUUAAAGAGAAGGCCCUUUGCAACAGAGAGUGGAACUUUCGCCAACCCAUAAUCUGGAGGCUUUGAGGUCAUUUGAAGGACACAUCAUUUCCCACAACCCAUGAAAUGAUGUACAACUGUUAUGCUCUGUGAAUACUUGUUGAAUCAUCCUGCUUGCCUGUUUGAGAAAGAAGGCCCUUUGCAACAGAGUGUGGAACUUUCGCCAACCCACAAUCUGGAGGCUUUGAGGUCAUUUGAAGGACACAUCAUUU